rnacentral:piRNA from 1 species
UGCCAUUUGCAAGGGUUAAGGAUAUUUCC